ACCUUAUUAACAUCAUCCUGCAGUGGGAGCCUCUCUGAGAGGAAACCAUCGAUCCACGCUUACAAACCAAACAUGCUGACUUAUUUAUUAGCUGUCAGUCUGCUGGUGAUGUCAGUACAUGGAACAAGAUGCCUUCUGGCCUAUAGAGGUUUACACAUGUGGGUCAAAUGUCCCCCAUUGUGAACCAGUCAGUGCUGUAAUGUGUGAGCCCUCGGGCCUCUGUGGCCUGGAGCCUGUAUUGACCUGUUGGCAUCGCUGUUUGUUUUCUGUAGGAGUUGCUGUUGGAUGAGCUGGUGAUGGGCGUGGCCUUGCUCUUGUUGGAAGCCCCUUCAGAUCAGCUGACCAGCCUUCUCAGACUUGCACUGAGUUUGGUCCCUGAACAAGCGGAGGCGUCGCCCUGGUUGAGUCCGGUCCUGAUUCUCCCCGUGUUGCAGCUCCUGUCCUGCUUGGGUCUCACUGAGCCGCUGUCUGACCAGAACACACACAGCACCAACCACAGGCUGGCUCACAGCCUGCUGCGCAGAGUUAGCAGGCCUGCAGAUAAACCCCAGCAGGUAGCCCAGCAGGUAACCCAACAGGUAGCCUAGCAGGUAGCCUAGCAGGUAAUCCAGGAGGUAACCCAGCAGGUAGCCCAGCAGGUAACCCAACAGGUAGCCUAGCAGGUAACCCAGGAGGUAACCCAGCAGGUAGCCCAGCAGGUAGCCUAGCAGGUAACCCAGCAGGUAGCCCAGCAGGUAACCCAGGAGGUAACCCAGCAGGUAACCUAGCAGGUAGCCUAGCAGGUAACCCAACAGGUAGCCUAGCAGGUAGCCCAACAGGUAGCCCAACAGGUAGCCUAGCAGGUAGCCUAGCAGGUAGCCUAGCAGGUAGCGCAACAGGUAACCCAACAGGUGACCCAGCAGGUGACCCAACAGGUGACCCAGCAGGUAGCCUAGCGGAUAACCCAACAGGUAGCCUAGCAGGUAACCCAGCAGGUAGCCUAGCAGGUAACCCAACAGGUAGCCUAGCAGGUAACCCAACAGGUAGCCUAGCAG